rnacentral:rRNA from 1 species
CCCGCUGAACUUAAGCAUAUCAAUAAGCGGAGGAAAAGAAACUAACAAGGAUUCCCCUAGUAACUGCGAGUGAAGCGGGAAGAGCUCAAAUUUGAAAUCUGGCAGCUUCGCCGUCCGAGUUGUAUUCUGGAGAAGCGUUUUCCGUGCUGGACCGUGUACAUGUCCCUUGGAACGGGGCGUCAAAGAGGGUGAGGAUUCCGUCUUUGGAGAUGACUGCCUACGAUGUGUGAUGCCCUCUCAAAGACGCGAGGUGUGUGAGAGCGCCUCUCAUAAGGGGUGGUAAAUUCUCUCUAAAUCUAUAUAUUGGAGAGAGACCUAUCGCGGACCAGUUACAUGAGGGAAAGAUGAAAAGCUCUUUGGAAAGAGAGUGAAACAGUGCGAGAUAGUGUGUGAAAGGGAAACUCUUGAUGUCAGUCGCGACUUCUGGAACUCACAACGUUCUUUUGCUAGGAGCAUCUCCUAUGUUUGACGGGUCAGCAUCGGUUUCGGUGGGCAGACAAAGGCGCAGGGAAGGUGGCCGCUCCGGUGAUGUGUAUAAGCCUGCGUUGUAAGUCACCAGCUGGGACCGAGGAAUCCGGCUCGCGCCUAGGAUGCUGGCGUAAUGGCUCUAAGCGACCCGUCUUGAAACACGG